GCAUUGCUGUCGAGUCCUAAACAGGACGAAACAACUGUCCAGUAU
rnacentral:hammerhead_ribozyme from 1 species